rnacentral:misc_RNA from 1 species
UUUCCGUAGGUGAACCUGCGGAAGGAUCAUUCCCAAUAAGUCAUUUAUGGCACUUUUUAGACCAUCCCUCUCCACCCUGUGUCCAACGUUAUGAGACCCUCUAUAGUUAUCUUUUAGGUUACGGAAGAGGGAACAUCUUCAACUUACCAAUAUCACCUUAAACUUAUUUGUCUGAAAAUUUGUCAUUCAACAUUAACUUAAUUCGAAAAUACAACUUUCAACAACGGAUCUCUUCGCUCUAGCAUCCAUGAAAAACGCAGCACAUCAGAAGAGCACCCG